UACGUAGGGGGCAAGCGUUGUCCGGAAUUAUUGGGCGUAAAGGGUGCGUAGGUGGCCUGAUAAGUCAGAUGUGAAAUACCGAGGCUCAACUUCGGAGGUGCAUUUGAAACUAUUAGGCUUGAGUGCAGGAGAGGAAAGUGGAAUUCCUAGUGUAGCGGUGAAAUGCGUAGAGAUUAGGAGGAACACCAGUGGCGAAGGCGACUUUCUGGACUGUAACUGACACUGAGGCACGAAAGCGUGGGGAGCAAACAGG
rnacentral:rRNA from 1 species